rnacentral:misc_RNA from 1 species
UCAAACUUGGUCAUUUAGAGGAAGUAAAAGUCGUAACAAGGUUUCCGUAGGUGAACCUGCGGAAGGAUCAUUAUUGAAUAAAUCUGAUGUAGUUGUAGCUGACUGCCCUAGGGUAGUAUUGUGCACACUCAUCACUUUUAUCUUUCCAUCUGUGCACAAACCUGUAGUCCUAGAACCCUCUCGCUGAGAAGCGGAUACAGAAGUUGCUAGUUCUGCUUUGGAAACCAAGUAGUCCUACUAGCUUCUUCUGAAUUUCUGGGUCUACAGUGAAUAUAUUUAUUAUAUAUACGAAAUGAAUGUUAUAGAAUGGAUAUCAUCAGGCUAUUUUAUGCCUACAAAAUUUAUACAACUUUCAGCAACGGAUCUCUUGGCUCUCGCAUCGAUGAAGAACGCAGC